rnacentral:rRNA from 1 species
UACAGAGGGUGCUAGCGUUGUUCGGAAUCAUUGGGCGUAAAGGGCGUGUAGGCGGUUUUGUUAAGUCAUGUGUGAAAUCCCUCGGCUCAACCGGGGAACGACGCAUGAAACUGGCAAGCUAGAGUACCAAAGGAGGGGGUGGAAUUCCCGGUGUAGCGGUGAAAUGCGUAGAUAUCGGCAGGAACACCCGUGGCGAAGGCGGCUCACUGGACCAUAACUGACGCUGAGGCACGAAAGCUAGGGGAGCAAACAGG